GCACUAUGGCGGAGCUCCAGACAACAACCUCUCCUGCAGGAACUGUUAAUUGAGCCCCUCACCUGUCCCCCGAUCCCAGCUUUGUUUCACUGGUAAAAGUAGCCAAGAGAGAGUGUAAGGUGCUAGUGCUGGAAUGAAUCAAAGAUGUACACAAAAGAUGAUCUGGACUGUGGGAGCUUAUGACAAAAGCAUCACUGUCCUGUGGCUGUGCUUCAACACAGAGCAGCCGUCACAUCUUUGUCUUCAUCCCAAGAAGAAGCAACAAUCAUACUAUAAUAAAUGCUAAAGAUGGAGUCAGUGAAUGAGGAAUGAAACAUGAAUCAGAGGACUGGUGCUGAUGAGAUUCUGAUGUGAGCUCAG